GGUGGAGCUAAUCCCUUAAAGCUACUCUCAGUUCGGAUUGUAGGCUGAAACUCGCCUACAUGAAGCUGGAGUUACUAGUAAUCGCAGAUCAGAAUGCUGCGGUGAAUGCGUUCCCGGGUCUUGUACACACCGCCCGUCACACCACGGGAGUUGGAGACGCCCGAAGCCGAUUAUCUAACCUUUUGGAAGAAGUCGUCGAAGGUGGAAU
rnacentral:rRNA from 1 species